AUCGCUUUUCGGCCUUUUGGCUCAGAUCAAGUGUAGUAUCUGUUUUUAUCAGUUUAAUAUUUGAUACGUCCCCCAUCGGGGGACUACAUAUUAAAUGGAUUUUUCGAACAGGGAGUCGGAAAUGGGGCUUGCUCCGUCCGCUCCACGCAUCGACCCGGUAUUGCAGUACCUCCGGGAAUGGUGCAACACUU
rnacentral:snRNA from 8 species